ACAUGCCUACAACAUAGCAUUAAUGCAUCGGAUCCCAUUAGAAUUUCACAGUUAAGCGCGCUCGGGCUAGAGUAGUACUAGGAUGGGUGAUAGCCCGGGAAGUCCUAGUAUUUUACAUGCC
rnacentral:rRNA from 1 species